rnacentral:rRNA from 1 species
UACGUAGGGUGCAAGCGUUGUCCGGAAUUAUUGGGCGUAAAGAGCUCGUAGGCGGUUUGUCGCGUCUGCUGUGAAAACUCGGGGCUUAACUCCGGGCCUGCAGCCGAUACGGGCAGGCUAGAGUUCGGUAGGGGAGACUGGAAUUCCUGGUGUAGCGGUGAAAUGCGCAGAUAUCAGGAGGAACACCGGUGGCGAAGGCGGGUCUCUGGGCCGAUACUGACGCUGAGGAGCGAAAGCGUGGGGAGCGAACAGG